rnacentral:lncRNA from 1 species
AAAGAUGCAAGUGACUCCCUUGAAGUGGUUUAUGGAAUACUUACUGAACCAAAACUCAGGAACCCAAGGGCAGGUCUAGAUGAUACGGUAAUUGUAUGCUGAUAGCUUAGAGGAAGAUACUUGUAUGCUAUACUUGGAAAGCUACCAUCUAGACUCAGUCCUGAGUGAAUACUGAAAAUGAAUACAAUAUUCAGCUAGAUCUUUCGUGACAUCUCAAGGAAAAUAAUCUGGUUCAAACAACAAAGAUGAGAUGAGUAUUUAUGUAUUUGUACUGGAAAAGUAAAAGAUUCUAAAGAAUCGAAAAAUCAAUUCAUCCAUAUCCCAUGACUCAGCGUAAGUGCAAAUAUAUCUAGCAAAACAGUAAAAGAUAAUCUCCUAGAAAUGGCUGUGGAACAAAAAUGAUUAAAGAAUUUUUACUUCAAAUCUAGCAAAUCCUUCAUCUAUCAAGUUUCUAAAUCAAAUAUAAUGCGCCCUUAGCAUAUAAAUCAACUAACAGGGUGCAAUACGCAAUGGCUCACUCAUCCAUAUAGCACAAAGAAAAAGAUACUAGUUUAUACUAAUAUAUAAAUGCAGGCACUCUUUCUACAUUUUAAUACAACUCUCACUGCUAUUUUCCAAUACCUGAAAAUUUGCAGGCUGCACUUCAAUAAGUACGCUCAACAGAAAUAGUGGCAUUUGGCUCAACAAAAUAUCACAAACUAAUUCAAAAGUUAGAGUUGACCGGAUAUUCUCAAAGCAAAUAAGCCAAAAGGUAACACAAACUAUAAGGGAUCAAGGUACAAGUGCGCAAAAAAAAAAAAUAACGUGGAAUAGUGCUGCUAGACAGAGGACUGGAAACAGUCACAACUAGUUUAUGGAGUUUCUCACCUUGAGUCUUUUCCUGAAAGUCACAGAGGUCAUCAGUACCCAAAUUCUCUACAUAUUGUUUCCUAUAUCCUAUAAAAUAAAACUCUCAUAUCGAAAGAGAAAUCUCAUCUAUCAUCACAGCUUGAUGCAGAAACUUUGGGCUCCAAAAUAUAUAUAUAUAUAUAUAUAUCAUUCAAAUUAUCC